AAGUCUCAGUUCGCUUACGAGCAUAGUCUCCAACAUCACGUGGCUUUCCACUAGAUUGAUGUCUCACAAGGAGUACUUCAUCAUCUGAUACCACAUGCCACGAUCAACAUCAAACUAUUUUCGCAACGAGCUCACGCGAGCGCUUCGUUCGUGAAUUCGAGUCAAACUCCUCGAUAAGGCUAUCUGCCAAAUCGCUCUCUUCGGUCUCCACAGGUGGACCAAAGGCCACCAAUCCUACGUAGGCCUACCACCUAAACCUGUCUCAAUACGCAGCGUCUCUCGCUCGCAAAUGCAGACCCAAUCAUGAUCGGGCGAAAUUCUCACUUGGGAAUUCGCACACACUCCAACCAGGAGCAACUAAGACCCCAAACCACGUCAAGUCCUCGGGUUGGGUCACAACCAUACUCGGUGUACCAUCGGUCACACAAUCUAUCACGUGGCAUUCCACGCUCCCGGGCCUAAACUCGGACUACCGUCCUGACCAGAACUCUGCCCUACCCGUAGGUACCGGGCCGCUGUCACUCACAGCUGACUGCGCCUGCCCAAUGGGCCCAGGCUCCACAGUCCACAAAUGGUCCAGGCACGGGUCGUCCCCAAGCACUACCCGCCGUCGUCGUCCUACACGACAUACUCUACCGAGUCACACGUACCAAUAUCGGCUCCUAUGCACCUAGUGCGAGUCACCAGUCCCACGAGUGAUCCAUGGCACGCUUCACACCUAGCAAUGCUCAAGUGCUACUGCCAAUACACUCUCUCGGCUGAAUCCACAUCCGCACUCUACGGGUAUCUACACUCGAGCGCUCUACGCCUCUACAGCGUUCCACACGAAGUCCAGCAUUAGGCAAUCUUGCCUAUGCACACCGGCCGCACGAGCACAACCGCCUACCUCACCUUGAGGUACUACUAGGCCCACGUGCUCAAACUUGGCCACUAAUCGACCGUUCUCUCAACAGUGAUGCUACUUUCACUGUUCGAUCUACCGGACUGACAUCCGAAAUUUUCGGACUACUCGGGUGUUCUCAUAAGCAUCAUGGCUCAACUCUCGCAAUUUACUAUUCAUAAUUGCUCUGAGAGUCGUUUCGCCACUUCUAUCUCUACCGCGAGUCUCACUUCUCGCCAUAGAUUACUUCUAGCACUUCGCUAGUGCCAUCUGGCUCUAUACCUGUACUGGCAGGUACUACGCCCUUACAUAAUAUAAAACUCCAUUUCUAGAGCAAUCAAAUCUAUCUCUAGAAAUCCACCAUGAGAGAGUGCUUAGAAGCUUACCUCUCCAAGAAGCUCCAACCAAGGAGAAGAUGAAGAAGAUGAGGAAGACCUCCUUCUUCUUCUCUUUCUUUCCUUUCCUUUCUUCUUCCUCUUCUUGUCUUCUAGAGAGAGAAAGAGAGAUAUGAGAGGGUGUGUGGGUGAGAAAUAAGAGAAAAGAGCUCUCAUACCCCUCACAUAGCCCCACAUGUUGCAUAAGUGCAAACAAACCCCUCAAAUUUUAUUCUUUUACAUUGCCCUCACUGGGCCACUUUCGGGUUCGGGGACCGGUCUUCCCGACGAGGGACCGGUCUCCGAGAGCUUCUCCCCGCAGUCAGCAGAGCUCACACCCGAUGCAACCGGUCUUUCUUUGGGGGACCGGUCUCUCAGGGACCGGUCUCUCCAGCAGGGACCGGUCUCCGAGCGUUGUCCACCAGGGACUUAGCCGAUUUUUUUUUCUCUCCUCUUGCUGCCUGCGCGUUCGGGGACCGGUCUCUCCCGGCAGGGACCGGUCUCCGAGAACAGAAAACUUGCAGUUUGUAGAUCUUCAUUUCCAAGGCUCUCGAAGAUCCCUAGUAAUGCACUUUUGCAUUAUUNUUUGACGCCUUCGGCCUUUCCAAAGCGUACCAACCUCGCUCUUUGGUCAAUUUGACCAAGGUUCGAUACUUGGUUACUGAAAUUUCGGUAUAUUACAUACCCACUCGAUAACUAGCCGAUCCCGGACGAAGUCCAACUCUCGGCUCUCGAGAAUUCACUUCGUUACAACCAUACUGUACCAGUACACCCCUGGUGUUAAACUGGUAACACAUAUUCCAGGAUUUCGGUUUUGCAUCGCUUCGACACCAAUUCAUGCCGAGCAACGCUAAAACUAUUCUAACUCUUUUAGAACUCAAUUCUAACCCUUCCAACAAUAUUGGAAUGUCAAUUGGACUUUGUCCAACUACUUCUCUCGACGCACUUUGGUCAAUUUGACCAAAAGUGAUCUAACACGAUGAGGAUUCCUUUAAUUUCUCAAAGAUCAUGAGAGACGCCAAAACUCGUGUAGUUCCCAAUCUCCGCACGCCUCAAAUUGCCCAGGGACACCACUUGGCCCAUCCCGCGCCGAUCUAAAAGAAGAUCGCCUACGCGGUGCUAUCGCUUCCUAAAACGCGACAACUCUCCGAAUUUUCUGCUAAUUUAUCUGUCCCGUUUCCAACAGAAAAUUCUAGAUCUUCUGUUUUCAUUCCGAUUUCAGCACAAGUCACUUCUGACUUAUAUUUUACUCCUACAAAUCCAAUAAAAAUAGUUUCUCACACUAUUUUUAUUUAUUUUUAUUUUUAUACUAAAAUCUGGUAUGUUACAUUCUCCACCCCUUAAAAGAAUUUCGUCCGCGAAAUUCAAACAACACCUCAAUUCAGCUCCUCGAGCAAUUGAGGGUACUAACUCAUUCUUCCACUCCAGAGCGGCUCCACACCAUCGUGUUUGAGAAGCGGCUCAUUCUAAGGGACAUGGGUUUGAUAUUAAACACAUUUGCAAAAGGUGAUACAAAAGUGCAUCACGGGUCUUGCAAGUCAUAGUGGCUGCGCAAGUCGGUGCUCGACGACUCUACACGCUCCAACACCACUCACCAUUCGAUACACAAAGAACUCUUCUUUGCACUUACCUUCCCUUCAGGGAAUACAUUCUGAUUCGAUCACCGACAUUGCUUAGGAGCAAUGUCACCGAUGCAUCGCUCCGUUAUGAGUGCUCUAAUUUCGCACUGACCAUUAACUUUAACGUGAGAUGGCCCACUUCGGCACCUCUCAAGUCUUAGUUCGCUUACGAGCAUAAUCUCCAACAUCACGUGGCUUUCCACUCGUUUGAUGUCUCACAAUGAGUACUUCAUCAUCUGAUAUCACAUGCCACGAUUAACAUCAAACUAUUUUUGCAAUGAGCUCACACGAGCGCUUCGUUCGUGAAUUCGAGUCAAACCCCUCGAUAAGGUUAUCUGCCAAAUCGCUCUCUUCAGUCUCCACAGGUGGACCAAAGGCCACCAAUCCUACGUAGGCCUACGUCUAAACCUAUCUCAAUACGCAGCGUCUCUCGCUCGCAAAUGCAGACCCAAUCAUGAUCGGGCGAAAUUCUCACUUGGGAAUUUGCACACACUCCAACCAGGAGCAACUAAGACCCCAAACCACGUCAAGUCCUUGGGUUGGGUCACAACCAUACUUGGUGUACCAUCGGUCACACAAUCUAUCACGUGGCAUUCCACGCUCCCGGGUCUAAGCUUGGACUACCGUCCUGACCAGAACUCUGCCCUACCCGUAAGUACCGGGCCGCUGUCACUCACAGCUGACUACGCCUGCCCAAAGGGCCCAGGCUCCGCAGUCCACUAAUGGUCCAGGCACGGGUCGUCCCCAAGCACUACCCGCCGUCGUCGUCCUACACGACAUACUCUACCGAGUCACACGUACCAAUAUCGGCUCCUAUGCACCUAGUGCGAGUCACCAGUCCCACGAGUGAUCCAUGGCACGCUUCACACCUAGCAAUGCUCAAGUGCUACUGCCAAUACACUCUCUCGGCUGAAUCCACAUCCGCACUCUACGGGUAUCUACACUCGAGCGCUCUACGCCUCUACAGCGUUCCACACGAAGUCCAGCAUUAGGCAAUCUUGCCUAUGCACACCGGCCGCACGAGCACAACCGCCUACCUCACCUUGAGGUACUACUAGGCCCACGUGCUCAAACUUGGCCACUAAUCGACCGUUCUCUCAACAGUGAUGCUACUUUCACUGUUCGAUCUACCGGAAUGACAUCCGAAAUUUUCGGACCACUCGGGUGUUCUCAUAAGCAUCAUGGCUCAACUCUCGCAAUUUACUACUCAUAUUGCUCUGAGAGUCAUUUCGCCACUUCUAUCUCUACCGCGAGUCUCACUUCUCGCCAUAGAUUACUUCUAGCACUUCGCUAGUGCCAUCUGGCUCUAUACCUGUACUGGCAGGUACUACGCCCUCACAUAAUACAAAACUCCAUUUCUAGAGCAAUCAAAUCUAUCUCUAGAAAUCCACCAUGAGAGAGAGCUUAGAAGCUUACCUCUCCAAGAAGCUCCAACCAAGGAGAAGAUGAAGAAGAUGAGGAAGACCUCCUUCUCCUUCUCUUUCUUUCCUUUCCUUUCUUCUUCCUCUUCUUGUCUUCUAGAGAGAGAAAGAGAGAUAUGAGAGGGUGUGUGGGUGAGAAAUAAGAGAAAAGAGCUCUCAUACCCCUCACAUAGCCCCACAUGUUGCAUAAGUGCAAACAAGCCCCUCAACUUUUAUUCUUUUACAUUGCCCUCACUGGGCCACUUUCGGGUUCGGGGACCGGUCUCCCCGACGAGGGACCGGUCUCCGAGAGCUUCUCCCCGCAGUCAGCAGAGCUCACACCCGAUGCAACCGGUCUUUCUUUGGGGGACCGGUCUCUCAGGGACCGGUCUCUCCAGCAGGGACCGGUCUCCGAGAGCUGUCCACCAAGGACUUAGCCGAUUUUUCUCUCCUCUUGCUGCCUGCGCGUUCGGGGACCGGUCUCUCCCCACAGGGACCGGUCUCCGAGAACAGAAAACCUGCAGUUUGCAGAUUUUCAUUUCCAAGGCUCUCGAAGAUCCCCAGUAAUGCACUUUUGCAUUAUUUGACGCCUUCGGCCUUUCCAAAGCGUACCAACCUCGCUCUUUGGUCAAUUUGACCAAGGUUCGAUACUUGGUUACCGAAAUUUCGGUAUAUUACAUACCCACUCGACAACUAGUCGAUCCUGGACGAAGUCCAACCCUCGGCUUUC
rnacentral:lncRNA from 1 species